CUCCUUGGAGACGGAGGGCGGGGCUAGGGCGCCGGAGUCACGUGGUCGCGCCACCGCGCGAUUGCUAGCUGUCGAAAGAGUCCUCCGACGUGUCCUGAGCGGUCGCAGGGUAAUGACGUCGGCCGUAUUGAGGAUGCUGGAACCUGCGGUUGAGUGCGAAACCGGCGCCACCCCCUGCGUCUUGGUCUCGGGCUGGUGGCCAGCGGGGUCUGGGCUGUGGUUUUACCCAGCUCCUUUGCGAAGCUGCUGUCCUUUCCUCAACAUUACCACCCGGCUGGGCAGCCUACCCUCGCAGCAACAGGUGUGCACCUUCCAAGCUUGCAACAGACCACAUUCAGAAGCUUCUUGAUUUCCUGGUGUUCUGGGAAUAUCUGGAUCAGAGGUAACAUGGUUCACUAGGACUCCUCAGCUUCACGCAGUGUCCAUUUCACCUCCCCCGGCCUUCCAAUGUCUCUUCUUCAAGAUUUCUCCAAGCCACUCUCCCCUUCAUCUCCUCCACCCCCAGGCCCCAACUCCUGCCCCUCCCACCCUGGCCCCUGUUCUCCCUGCCCACCCCCUACCCCACUGGAGUGGCCUUUCAUCAAACCUAAACCAAAGAAACCAACAGACCUUGCUGUCACCACUACUCCGGGACCUGGAAGUUGAAGCGAGGGAGAGACGGCGAAACACAGAAAGCAGAACGCCUUCUGUUCUUCCACACCACAGGGUUUGUGGACGUGGCCACUAUAAGAACUCGCACUGCGUGAUUAUACUCCUCAGCAUAAUUAAUUUCUUAAACUUUUUAGAAUAAUUUAAAAUUUACAAAAAGUUGCAAAAAAUAAAAACCAGUAAACUCUU